rnacentral:rRNA from 1 species
CAGCGAUAGCUUACCAUGCAGGUCGAGGGGCAGCAGGGACUCCGGUCUGCUGGCGACCGGCGCACGGGUGCGUAACGCGUAUGCAACUUGCCUUACAGAGGAGGAUAACCCGUUGAAAGACGGACUAAUACUGCGUAUGCUCACAGGGAGGCAUCUCCUGGUGAGGAAAAGAAAUUCGCUGUAAGAUAGGCAUGCGUCCCAUUAGCUAGAUGGUGAGGUAACGGCUCACCAUGGCGACGAUGGGUAGGGGAACUGAGAGGUUGAACCCCCACACUGGUACUGAGACACGGACCAGACUCCUACGGGAGGCAGCAGUGAGGAAUAUUGGUCAAUGGGCGAGAGCCUGAACCAGCCAAGUCGCGUGAAGGAAGAAGGUCUUAUGGAUUGUAAACUUCUUUUAUAGGGGAAUAAAGAUAAGUACGAGUACUUAGUUGAAUGUACCCUAUGAAUAAGCAUCGGCUAACUCCGUGCCAGCAGCCGCGGUAAU